UACGUAGGGUGCAAGCGUUGUCCGGAAUUAUUGGGCGUAAAGAGCUCGUAGGCGGUGUGUCACGUCGGCCGUGAAAACCUGCAGCUUAACUGUGGGCGUGCGGUCGAUACGGGCAUCACUGGAGUUCGGCAGGGGAGACUGGAAUUCCUGGUGUAGCGGUGAAAUGCGCAGAUAUCAGGAGGAACACCAAUAGCGAAGGCAGCUCGCUGGGACGUUACUGACACUGAGGCGCGAAAGCGUGGGGAGCGAACAGG
rnacentral:rRNA from 1 species